CCUACGGGGGGCUGCAGUGAGGAAUAUUGGUCAAUGGACGAGAGUCUGAACCAGCCAAGUAGCGUGAAGGAUGACUGCCCUAUGGGUUGUAAACUUCUUUUAUAUGGGAAUAAAAUGUUCCACGUGUGGGUUUUUGUAUGUACCAUAUGAAUAAGGAUCGGCUAACUCCGUGCCAGCAGCCGCGGUAAUACGGAGGAUCCGAGCGUUAUCCGGAUUUAUUGGGUUUAAGGGGAGCGUAGAUGGAUUGUUAAGUCAGUUGUGAAAGUUUGCGGCUCAACCGUAAAAUUGCAGUUGAAACUGGCAGUCUUGAGUACAGUAGAGGUGGGCGGAAUUCGUGGUGUAGCGGUGAAAUGCUUAGAUAUCACGAAGAACUCCGAUUGCGAAGGCAGCUCACUGGACUGCAACUGACACUGAGGCUCGAAAGUGUGGGUAUCAAACAGGAUUAGAUACCCGAGUAGUC
rnacentral:rRNA from 1 species